rnacentral:rRNA from 1 species
UACGUAGGGUGCAAGCGUUGUCCGGAAUUAUUGGGCGUAAAGAGCUCGUAGGCGGUUUGUCGCGUCUGCUGUGAAAACUCGGGGCUCAACCCCGAGCCUGCAGUCGAUACGGGCAGACUAGAGUGCUGUAGGGGAGACUGGAAUUCCUGGUGUAGCGGUGAAAUGCGCAGAUAUCAGGAGGAACACCAAUGGCGAAGGCAGAUCUCUGGGCCGUAACUGACGCUGAGGAGCGAAAGCAUGGGGAGCGAACAGG